UACGUAGGGUGCAAGCGUUGUCCGGAAUUAUUGGGCGUAAAGAGCUCGUAGGCGGUCUGUCACGUCGGCUGUGAAAACCCGAGGCUCAACCUCGGGCCUGCAGUCGAUACGGGCAAACUAGAGUACUGCAGGGGAGACUGGAAUUCCUGGUGUAGCGGUGAAAUGCGCAGAUAUCAGGAGGAACACCGGUGGCGAAGGCGGGACUCUGGGCCGAUACUGACGCUGAGGAGCGAAAGCGUGGGGAGCAAACGGG
rnacentral:rRNA from 1 species